UGGGGAAUUUUGGACAAUGGGGGCAACCCUGAUCCAGCGAUGCCGCGUGAGUGAAGAAGGCCUGCGGGUUGUAAAGCUCUUUCGGUGGGGAGGAAGGCUCCCAAGCGAAUAACUUGGGGGAUUGACGUUACCCACAAAAGAAGCACCGGCUAACUCUGUGCCAGCAGCCGCGGUAAUACAGAGGGUGCAAGCGUUAAUCGGAAUUACUGGGCGUAAAGGGCGUGUAGGUGGACUUGUAAGUUUGAUGUGAAAGCCCCGGGCUUAACCUGGGAACUGCGUUGAAGACUGCAAGACUAGAGUUGGACAGAGGGUAGUGGAAUUUCCGGUGUAGCGGUGAAAUGCGUAGAGAUCGGAAAGAACACCCGUGGCGAAGGCGGCUACCUGGGUCCAAACUGACACUGAGGCGCGAAAGCGUGGGGAGCGAACAGGAUUAGAUACCCGGGUAGUCC
rnacentral:rRNA from 1 species